rnacentral:rRNA from 1 species
UUCCGGGGUUGGAUCCUGCCGGAGGUUACUGCUAUCGGGGUCCGACUAAGCCAUGCGAGUUGAGAGGGGUAAGCCCUCGGCAUACUGCUCAGUAACACGCGGAUAACCUGCCCUUGGGUCUGGGAUAACCCCGGGAAACUGGGACUAAUACCGGAUAGAUCAGAGAUACUGGAAUGUUCUCUGGUUCAAAACUCCGGUGCCCAAGGAUGGGUCUGCGGCCUAUCAGGUAGUAGUGGGUGUAACGUACCUACUAGCCAGCGACGGGUAAGGGUUGUGAGAGCAAGAUCCCUGAGAUGGAUUCUGAGACAUGAAUCCAGGCCCUACGGGGUGCAGCAGGCGCGAAAACUUUACACUGCGGGAAACCGCGAUAAGGGGACCCCGAGUGCCAGCACCUAGUGCUGGCUGUCCAGCUGUCCAAAUAACAGCUGUUAGCAAGGGCCGGGCAAGACCGGUGCCAGCCGCCGCGGUAACACCGGCGGCCCGAGUGGUAACCGUUUUUAUUGGGUUUAAAGGGUCCGUAGCCGGCUUAUUAAGUCUCUUGGGAAAUCUGGCGGCUCAAUCGUCAGGCGUCCAAGAGAUACUGAUAGGCUUGGGACCGGGAGAGGUGGGAGGUACUCCAGGGGUAGGGGUGAAAUCUCGUAAUCCUUGGGGGACCACCGAUGGCGAAGGCAUCCCACCAGAACGGGUCCGACGGUGAGGGACGAAAGCUGGGGGCACGAACCGGAUUAGAUACCCGGGUAGUCCCAGCUGUAAACGAUGCUCGCUAGGUGUCAGGUGCGGUGCGACCGCAUCUGGUGCCGCAGUGAAAACUUGAAGCGAGUCACCUGGGAAGUACGGUCGCAAGGCUGAAACUUAAAGGAAUUGGCGGGGGAGCACUACAACGGGUGGAGCCUGCGGUUCAAUUGGAUUCAACGCCGGG